rnacentral:rRNA from 1 species
AUUGAACGCAGGCGGCAUGCUUUACACAUGCAAGUCGAACGGCAGCGCGGGCCUCGGCCUGGCGGCGAGUGGCGAACGGGUGAGUAAUACAUCGGAACGUGCCCAGUAGUGGGGGAUAGCUCGGCGAAAGCCGGAUUAAUACCGCAUACGACCUGAGGGUGAAAGCGGGGGAUCUUCGGACCUCGCGCUAUUGGAGCGGCCGAUGGCAGAUUAGCUAGUUGGUGGGGUAAAGGCCUACCAAGCCGACGAUCUGUAGCUGGUCUGAGAGGACGACCAGCCACACUGGGACUGAGACACGGCCCAGACUCCUACGGGAGGCAGCAGUGGGGAAUUUUGGACAAUGGGCGAAAGCCUGAUCCAGCAAUGCCGCGUGUGUGAUGAAGGCCUUCGGGUUGUAAAGCACUUUUGGCGGGAACGAAAAGGACUGUGCCAAUACCACGGUUCGAUGACGGUACCCGCAGAAUAAGCACCGGCUAACUACGUG